rnacentral:lncRNA from 1 species
CCCUAACACCACUUGUCAAACAAUUCCAUUACAAGUAGGACAUUCUUUAUAAUAGAAAUUCCCUUGGAUAAAAACAUCCAACCAACACAAUCCUACUAGGAGUACACUACCUACUCCUAUAAAAGCAGAACCUUGGGCCAUUAUUCAGGUACGUUUUUCUCAUUGUUCUUCAGCAUAUAGCCUCACGCAUAUAUUUCCCUUUCUGACUUAAGCAUCGGAGGGGCGACGAGAACACACCUCGUUGCCUUUGUUUCAGGUAUCGGAAGAUCACGUUCGUGCUCAUCAUCAGUCAUCAAGCUCGGAAAAUCUACAGGUACGAUUUUUGGUAGCAUCAUUGGCGCCGUCUGUGGGAACCGCUACCAAAAGUCAUGGUAAACACACGAUCAGGUCUUCCACCCGCAAGCUCAUCCGCUCCAAACCAACCCCCUCCUGAGGAUAUCCCUGUUCCUCAAGAGGAAUCAUCAGAAGUGCCAGAGCCCCAGCCGGCAGUCGUCACUACCGUAGCCUUUGAAGAGCUCAGACAACAGGUCGCCACACUGACUCAGCUGCUAAGUCAAAGAAAUUCGCAUCCAUCACCCACACCGGCACCCCAGGGGGGUUUUAUGGCUGAUGCUCGAGCUCGAGCUCAUGCCCCUGACAAUGGCGGAGCAGGGGCCUCGGGUAUACCACAUGUGACCUCGGCCUCGAGAUCAGUGACCAUGGGGUCCGGGGAACUCGCUAGGAUUAUUCAAGAAGGAAUUGCAGCGGGCCUACUUCAGGGCAAUAAAGGGACGACAAGAUUCAGUCCCAAUACUCCAUUUACUCCCGAGAUACUAACAUUCCCCUUGCCGGACAGAUUUAAGUAUCCUAGGAUCAAAGAGUAUGAUGGGACCACCGAUCCAAUCAAUCAUCUGAACAUAUACACGGACGUCAUGAAUUUAC